AGGGCACCACCAGGAGUGGAGCCUGCGGCUUAAUUUGACUCAACACGGGAAAACUUACCUGGUCAGGACACUGGAAGGAUUGACAGAUUGAGAGCUCUUUCUUGAUUCAGUGGGUGGUGGUGCAUGGCCGUUCUUGGUUGGUGGAGCGAUUUGUCUGGUUAAUUCCGAUAACGAACGAGACUCUAGCCUACUAACUAGACUGCUCAACUUUAUAGCUGCAUCACCCUGCAGGUGCUUCGGUGCUUGUAGGGCUGUGGUGACGUUGGCAGUGCUUCUUAGAGGGACAGGCGGCGGUUCAGCCGCACGAAACAGAGCAAUAACAGGUCUGUGAUGCCCUUAGAUGUCCAGGGCCGCACGCGCGCUACACUGAAGUGAUCAGCGUGCAAUUAACGUUUCCUACUCCGUCAGGAGUGGGUAACCCGUUGAACCUUCUUCGUGAUUGGGAUAGGGGAUUGUAAUUAUUCCCCUUGAACGAGGAAUUCCCAGUAAGCGCAAGUCAUAAGCUUGCGUUGAUUACGU
rnacentral:rRNA from 1 species